rnacentral:rRNA from 1 species
AUUGAACGCUGGCGGCAGGCCUAACACAUGCAAGUCGAACGGUAGCACAGAGAGCUUGCUCUCGGGUGACGAGUGGCGGACGGGUGGGUAAUGUCUGGGAAACUGCCCGAUGGCGGGGGAUAACUACUGGAAACGGUAGCUAAUACCGCAUAAUGUCGCAAGACCAAAGAGGGGGACCUUCGGGCCUCUUGCCAUCGGAUGUGCCCAGAUGGGAUUAGCUAGUUGGUGAGGUAAUGGCUCACCAAGGCGACGAUCCCUAGCUGGUCUGAGAGGAUGACCAGCCACACUGGAACUGAGACACGGUCCAGACUCCUACGGGAGGCAGCAGUGGGGAAUAUUGCACAAAGGGCGCAAGCCUGAUGCAGCCAUGCCGCGUGUAUGAAGAAGGCCUUCGGGUUGUAAAGUACUUUCAGCGGGGAGGAAGGCGAUACGGUUAAUAACCGUAUUGAUUGACGUUACCCGCAGAAGAAGCACCGGCUAACUCCGUG